GGGGCAUUAGCUCAGUUGGCUAGAGCGCUUCGCUGGCAGCGAAGAGGUCAGGAGUUCGAGUCUCCUAUGCUCCACCA
rnacentral:tRNA from 1 species